rnacentral:rRNA from 1 species
UUACCCCGCAAGGGGUAACUGAGUGGCGAACGGGUGAGUAACGCGUGGGUGACCUACCUUCGAAUGGGGGAUAACGUCCCGAAAGGGACGCUAAUACCGCAUAACAUCCUGUCCUUGAACGGAUGGAGAUCAAAGCCGGGGAUCGCAAGACCUGGCGUUUGAAGAGGGGCCCGCGUCUGAUUAGCUAGUUGGUGAGGUAACGGCCCACCAAGGCGACGAUCAGUAUCCGGCCUGAGAGGGCGGACGGACACACUGGGACUGAGACACGGCCCAGACUCCUACGGGAGGCAGCAGUGGGGAAUUGUUCGCAAUGGGCGCAAGCCUGACGACGCAACGCCGCGUGGAGGAUGAAGGUCUUCGGAUUGUAAACUCCUGUUGCCCGGGACGAAUGGCUCCAACCUAAUACGUUGGAGUGUGACGGUACCGGGUGAGGAAGCCCCGGCUAACUCUGUGCCAGCAGCCGCGGUAAUACAGAGGGGGCGGGCGUUGUUCGGAAUUACUGGGCGUAAAGGGCGCGUAGGUGGCCUGCUAUGUCGAACGUGAAAUCCCUGGGCUCAACCCAGGAACUGCGUCCGAAACUGGCAGGCUCGAAUCCGGGAGAGGGAUGUGGAAUUCCAGGUGUAGCGGUGAAAUGCGUAGAUAUCUGGAGGAACACCGGUGGCGAAGGCGGCAUCCUGGACCGGUAUUGACGCUGAGGCGCGAAAGCCAGGGGAGCAAACGGGAUUAGAUACCCCGGUAGUCCUGGCCCUAAACGAUGAAUGCUUGGUGUGGCGGGUAUCGAUCCCUGCCGUGCCGAAGCUAACGCAUUAAGCAUUCCGCCUGGGGAGUACGGUCGCAAGGCUGAAACUC